rnacentral:rRNA from 1 species
GACGAACGCUGGCGGCGUGCCUAAUACAUGCAAGUCGAACGCAGUGGGGACGGGUGAGUAACACGUGGGUAACCUCCCAUCAGAGGGGAUAACACUUGGAAACAGGUGCUAAACCGAUACUGAUGGAUGGACCCGGAGUGCAUUAGCUAGUUGGUGAGGUAACGGCUCACCAAGGCCACGAUGCAUAGCCGGCCUGAGAGGGUGAUCAGCCACACUGGGACUGAGACACGGCCCAGACUCCUACGGGAGGCAGCAGUAGGGAAUCUUCGGCAAUGGACGAAAGUCUGAUCGAGCAACGCCGCGUGAGUGAAGAAGGUUUUCGGAUCGUAAAACUCUGUUAGUAGGGAAGCGUUACCUAAACAGAAAGCAACGGCUAACUACGUGCCAGCAGCCGCGGUAAUAC